AAUAGACAAAUAUCAUGCAACACAUUUGAACAUUUAGAUGCAAUGCUCAUAUUCUUUGAAAACACCACUUUCCAAAGCUGGCACAAGAAAUGGAACAUCUGAAUAUUCCUAGAUUUGUCUAAGAAAUCUAAUUUACAAAUAAAUAAAUAAAUAAAUAAAUAAAUAAAUAAAUAAAUAAAUAAAAUAAAUCUAAUUUACAUGUAAAAGUCUUCCCGGUAAGAAAACUACAGACUUAUAAGUCUUCUUUGGAGAAUGCUUCUAAACCCUGAAGGAAGACACAGUAGCAAUUUUACCUAACCCUUACAGCAAAAGAAAGGAGGAAAUGCUUGCCAACAUGUUGAUGAUGCCAAAGAAAGCCUGACACCAAUCCGUUGUAACAUGAAAAGAUAAUUGCCUAUAUCUCACUGACACAGAGACAGACAAAACAGAACACCUAACCAAAUAUUAGCAAACUAAAUCCUUCAACAUAUAAAAAUUUUAAUAACACGUGGAUUUUCCCCAGGAAUUUAAGUUAGUUUAACAUUCAAACAACAAAACUGAGGUGGUGGUGGGGAGUUUUCAAUUCAUCUAAGUAAGCUAAUCAACUCUUGAUUUGGAUACAAAUAAUCUGAAAAUACAAAUCUAACAAAAAUAUUCAGUAUUUAUUAAACUUCCUUCAGCCUCAAAAUCUAUUCUACAGUGUGAAGGCUUAGACCAGGAAAUAUACAUAAAGUGCGUAGUAAAAACCUGAGUGACAUAGAGUGGUAGUCAUUAUCGCAUUAUACAUUUCCAGUGGAAAGAGGUACCUGUAAUGCCAUGUGAAGGCUCCAGAAACCUUCAGGUCAUGACAUAAAUGAUUCCUGGCACAAAGUAUCAUGCCCAUUUAUUUCCCACAUUUAGGUAACAAGAAAUAUAGUUUAAAAAACAUUAAGGAAAGGAAUACUUCAAGUGCAGGUCAAAAAUAGAGGAUGCAAACAAUAAUGAAUUUAACAAAUGAGAUAUAGAUGCCUAACAAACAAUUCUGUAAGGCAAAUUCAGAUAUCAGAGAAAAAGAAAUGUGAAUGAAAUCGAAGUACCAUUAUUCUUCUGUCAAAUUAGACAAGUUUUCAAAGACAGUAAUAGUUAAAUAUAGUUAAACUAUAUUUAGUUUAAAUAGUUAAAUAUGAAUAUAUACAUAUUGCUAUACUGGCUUAACAAUAAAUCACAUAUUAACAGUAGAGUGUCAAGAAAUGUGACUACAAAUUGUAUUAUUAAUAAUCGCAAGAAAAUAAUAUUUUCCCCAAACAUACAUAUCCAAGGGAAAGCAAGUUGCCAUUCUGUGCCCAAGAAUAUUUUGUAAUGCAUAAAUACAAAAUAGUCUUCUCAUAGAAAAGCAUUAC
rnacentral:lncRNA from 1 species